rnacentral:rRNA from 1 species
AAGGAUCAUUAUUGAAUUUCACCUGCUGGGGUUGCUGCUGGUUCCUUUAUUGGUUCAUGUGCACGCCUGGCUUCUGAUCUCUUUCCACCUGUGCACUUUUGUAGGACGUUCUGCGUCUUGGUCGUAUGUCUAUAAUCACAUUCAUUUGUGGAAUGGAGUUUGAAGUUAGCCUUCGAAAGUUGGUCUUCUCUCUCUGGGACUUCGGCUGAGCAGGGAACUGUUCUACGUAUUUUAUACACUCUAUUGAAGUCUAGAAAGUCUUUUAUUGGUCGGAAGGCCUUUAAUCUUAACACAACUAUUGACAACGGAUCUCUUGGCUCACACAUCGAUGAAGAACGCAGCGAAAUGCGAUAAGUAAUGUGAAUUGCAGAUUUCAGUGAAUCAUCGAAUCUUUGAACGCACCUUGCACCUUCUGGUAUUCCGGAAGGUACAUCUGUUUGAGUGUCAUUAAAUUCUCAACCAUUCAGCUUUUGUUAGCUGUCUGGCUUGGAUGUGAGGGUUGCGGGCUGCGUAACAGCGGUCGGCUCUCUUUAAAUGCAUUAGCUGGGGACUAUUACUUGGUUCAAGUGCUUCGAUGUUUGAAGGCCUCCUGGUGUGAUAAUUAUCUACGCUGUUGGCUUAGUCUUUGCGCCUAUUGGAUCUUGGAAUGAACCUGCUUCUAACUGUCUCGCAAGGGACUAGUCCGCUACAGGGCUAUAAUGACUAUUGUGACCUCAAAUCAGAUGGGACUACCCGCUGAACUUAAGCAUAUCAAUAAGCGGAGGAAAAGAAACUAACAAGGAUUCCCCUAGUAACUGCGAGUGAAGAGGGAAAAGCUCAAAUUUGAAAUCUGGCUGUCAUAUGGCAGUCCGAGUUGUAAUUUCGAGAAGUGUUACCCGUGCUGGACCGUGCAUAAGUCUUCUGGAAAGGAGUAUCAUAGAGGGUGACAAUCCCGUCUUUGGUACGGACUCCCAGCACAUUGUGGUAUGCUCUCAACGAGUCGAGUUGUUUGGGAAUGCAGCUCAAAAUGGGUGGUAAAUUCCAUCUAAAGCUAAAUAUUGGUGUGAGACCGAUAGCGAACAAGUACCGUGAGGGAAAGAUGAAAAGAACUUUGGAAAGAGAGUUAAACAGUACGUGAAAUUGUCAAUAGGGAAACGCUUGAAGUCAGUCGCGUUGCUCGGGAAUCAGCCUUCCUUUUGGUUGGUGCACUUCCUGUGUGACGGGUCAGCAUCAGUUUUGGUCGCUGGAAAAAGGCUUGGGGAAUGUGGCUCUUUCGGGAGUGUUAUAGCCCUUUGUCAUAUACAGCGGCUGGGAUUGAGGAACUCAGUACGCCGCAAGGCAGCUCUUCGGAGACUUUCGUACUUAGGAUGCUGGCAUAAUGGCUUUAAGCGACC